rnacentral:rRNA from 1 species
UACAUAAUCAUUAGUCUUUUAAUUUGAGACUGGAAUGAAAGAGUAAACCGGGAGAACUUUUUUUCAGUUGAGAAAAUGAAUUUUACUUUUUAGUAAGAAGGCUAAAAUUUAACUUUUAGACAAGAAGACCCUAUAAAACUUUAUAUUUUUAUUUCUUAUUUGAAAGAGGAAGUAUUUCGCUGGGGCGGUGGAGGAAAACACUUCCUUUAAAAAAAUAAACUAUCUUGUUUAAAUACCUAGAAAUUCUAAAUUAGAAAUAAGUUACUUUAGGGAUAACAGCUUAAUUUACUUAGAAAGAUCAAAUUGACAAGUAAGUUUAUGACCUCGAUGUUGAAUUAAAAGACCCUUUUUUGUGCAAAAGCUUUAAA